UACGAAGGGGGCUAGCGUUGCUCGGAAUCACUGGGCGUAAAGGGUGCGUAGGCGGGUCUUUAAGUCAGGGGUGAAAUCCUGGAGCUCAACUCCAGAACUGCCUUUGAUACUGAAGAUCUUGAGUUCGGGAGAGGUGAGUGGAACUGCGAGUGUAGAGGUGAAAUUCGUAGAUAUUCGCAAGAACACCUGUGGCGAAAGCGGCUCACUGGACCAUUACUGACGCUGAGGCACGAAAGCUAGGGGAGCAAACAGG
rnacentral:rRNA from 1 species